GUACACAUGAUGUGAACUUUAUGUUUAUGAGUUCCUCGAUGACACUGUAAACGCUUACUGAUGUA
rnacentral:snoRNA from 1 species